UUAGGGUUUAGUGUUUUGGGUUUAUGAUUUAGAAUAUAGGAUUUAUAUUUAGAGUAUAGGGGCAGAAGAUUGUAGAUAGACACCAAUUUGACAAACAAAGGUUUCAAUAUUCUAUGUGGGUGAUGAAGAAGAAACCAUGGAUGGCGUUAACAAAAAUUAGUCGACAUCUUUUUCACUUCUUUCUUUUUUUUUUCUUUUCAAUUUUGUUUCUUUUUUAUACUAAUCCUAUAUGGGAUUUUGAUUGAUGCUAAAAUUUGAGGUGAAUUUGAGAGUUCACCAGAGGGGUGAACACAAGUUUGUUUCAAUAUAUUUGAUAAAAAGUAUUACUCAAAUCUCCUAUUUUUAUGUCUAGCUCAUGAAGAAAAGAUAUAAAUUGUAAAAAAGAUUGUCUGUCAAAAAUAUUAGAAGAGUUUAGCAAAAAAAUAUUAUAAGAUUAAAUUUAAAACAUAUUAAAUUUAGUAUAUCUACGUAAUAAAAAUCCAAGUGAUUUAGAAGUCGGUGCUAAGAUCUCAAAUUGAAAAUUUUGAUAAAACUAACAAAUAAUAUAUUUAUAAAAGAUUUGAUCUAAUUAAAUAUUAUCAAUUGAUUUAGGUUGAAAGCGCACAAUAUUUUAAUAAACAAAAAUAUCUAUUACAUGUCGUAAAUUUGAUUCGAGAUGGAUCAAUGAGAUGGUUUAACAUCAAAAGUUGACUAAUAUUUUAUAUACAGAGGAUUCAUUAAUCAAUAGUAAGAUUUAAGUUAGAAAUCUAAAAAAAAAAUUUACAAAAAACUUUUUUAAAAAGACGAUUUACAAAAAAGUAACUUUGAAGUAAUAAAGAUUGGAAAGUUGAAACCAAAUCUUGCGACAUGCUAAAUAAAUCUAUCUAUUUAUAUAAAAGAGAGUUUACUCUCUCCAGGUUGAGCCACGUCGUCAUCCAGCCUAGAAAUUCGUUUGUUCUCGUGUCGACACAUGUCAUGUACUAAUGAAACUCAGCGUUUCAUUUAAAUGCAUGACAUGAUGGGCUUUCUUCGUUAAUAUCCUGUUGGGCUCUACGUUUGAUCGAUCUCUCUGGCCCGAGACAAUGUGACUCGCCAUCUAACCAUAAUUUCACGAACGACGAUUUGCUCUGCAUUCCUCCCUUUCCUUCGACGGCGACGCAUGACGCUUGAGUUCCCUUCACAUGUAUGAAACAGUAGCUUCACUCAAUCAUCGUGACUCUUGGGAUCUUGAAUCCUCCGACUAUCGCCUCUGUAACGUCUUAAGAUCUCGGCUAGGAGAUACAUUUAUCCAAGCAUUAACGACACCAUUCUUCCCACUCUUCCUCAUUAACUCGACCUUAUCAUCCCACCAAGGUAAACGUUCAUUGCAACGACUAUAAAUAUGUUCAAAGAUGUAUUUAAACACGUCGUCGGCAUAUAUCCGUUGUUUCCUUCUCUCUCUCCCCGACUUAAUAACUGUUCUCACAGACAAAAGAUCAGUGGAAUCUCAUCUUUAUUGUUACCGUCACUCGAUACCAGGAAUCCUUAAUAGUAAGAAUGUUUCUCAUCAUAGCCAUGAGACCGUUUAGUGUCUUUGAAUUAUGCUUCUAUUUGGAUCAUGUCUUGGCAGAAUGAUAAUCUUACCAACUCUGGCUUUGUUAUUAUGUUUAAUCGUAUUUUUAUUAGAUCUAUGAAAUUUGGUUCAGACAUGUUGUUUUUUCUUGAGUUCACAAAUGAUUUUUGAUUAUAUAAAAUAAUAGUUGUUGGAUUUUAGAGAAUUAUCGAAUUGUUCCUCUGUUUUUACAUGCUUCUAUUGCAAGGACUAUUUGUUCAAGCUUUUGCUAAUUGGUGAUUCUGGUGUUGAUAGAUCUGCUUGCUUCUUAUGUUUGCUGAUAAGAUGAGUAGUUAUACCGGUCGCUACAGCUGGUAUCGCGGCAUUGCUUCCCUACAGGCAGAAAUCGUGGAAGAUUGAGAGAAAAAAGUGUGUGCGUGAGAUGCACGACCUUCUGCGCUCUUGAUCAGAUCUCCAAUACAGUCGUUUCUCAUAUUUCCAAAGCCGUCGUAUAAAUAUUUGAAAUGUAAAUAUUAGGGGUCACCGGAGCGUUCACGACUCUUGAUUCGGUAGCAAAGUUUGAAGAGGUUGGCCAUUGGUAGAUUUACUUGCAUCACAUCACCUGAGUUGGCGUCCAAGUCAAAUGUCCUUCACUAUAACUGAUUAGAGUUUGAAGAAGCAUUUGAAAGACAUGGUGAAGCGUGGAAAUAAUCUGAGAGUGUACAUAAAUUUUUCUUCAACGAAUGUUUUACAUUUAACCAGGCGUCUGUUUAUAUAUUCUUUUAUUUUAAUCCAUUGUAAACAUACAACAAAGCAUGUAAAAGAAUGUGAAGAAUGUUUCAAGAGGUUAUGGUUUUGUAGAAUUGUGACUGUGUUUCUUUGAAACUUCGAGUUGAUUGGA